rnacentral:rRNA from 1 species
GUAGGUGGCAAGCGUUGUCCGGAAUUAUUGGGGCGUAAAGCGCGCGCAGGUGGUUCUUUAAGUCUGAUGUGAAAGCCCCCGGGCUCAACCGGGGGAGGGUCAUUGGAAACUGGGGAACUUGAGUGCAGGAGAGGAAAGUGGAAUUCCACGUGUAGCGGUGAAAUGCGUAGAUAUGUGGAGGAACACCAGUGGCGAAGGCGACUUUCUGGCCUGUAACUGACACUGAGGCGCGAAAGCGUGGGGAGCAAGCAGGAUUAGAUACCCUGGUAGUCCACGCCGUAAACGAUGAGUGCUAAGUGUUGGGGGGUUUCCGCCCCUCAGUGCUGCAGCUAACGCAUUAAGCACUCCGCCUGGGGAGUACGGUCGCAAAGACUG